rnacentral:lncRNA from 1 species
UCCUGUCUGGCGAGCAUCAGCAUCUUUCCUCCUCCUGUCUCACACCAGUGAUUUGAUCCUGCGUUAUUGAGCAUCAGUUUAUUUUAGUCCUUCCCCCGGGGUCCACAGUAGUUUGAUCCUACCUCUCGGACUAUUAGGUCCUUUCUUAUCCCCCCUCCAGCACCACCACCACAAAUGGUAUGAUCCUUAGCAUCAGGUCCUUUUUGUCCCCUCCUUGCUGGUCUUCUAAGCAGAUUGAAGCAGCUUCAUCUCAUUCCUGGUUCAUCCUGAUUCCCUCAGUGGCUUGCUCCUGCAUUAGUAAUGUAAAACUGGCCCAAAAGGGUUUAAAAUUGUCAGAAGUUGAUCUUGAUCAGUUCAAAUAUUUUUUGACAAAGAAAAUCAGUUCUGGUCAGUUCAAAUCUAUUUUGACCAGUUUAAACCAAUUCUGCAGAACUCGAGCCUGUGGUCGGUAAACCCAGGAAGAUGGCUGAAGACUAUGCUGAUUCAAGCCAAAGCAAGGAAUCAGAGAAAGGUAAGAUUCAUUAAGACUUGGGUGAAAAGAGUUAACAUGGGCAGAAUCCUGGAAGACUUCAAGAAGAAGGUGGAAUUCAAACGGAGUCCUGAAGAAUAGG